AUUGAACGCUGGCGGCAGGCCUAACACAUGCAAGUCGAGCGGAUGAGGCGAGCUUGCUCCUGGAUUCAGCGGCGGACGGGUGAGUAAUGCCUAGGAAUCUGCCUCGUAGUGGGGGAUAACGUCCGGAAACGGGCGCUAAUACCACAUACUUCCUGAGCGAGAAAGUGGGGGAUCUUCGGACCUCACGCUAUCAGAGGAGCCUACGUCGGAUUAGCUAGUUGGUGGGUUAAAGGCCUACCAAGGCGAGGAUCCGUAACUGGUCUGAGAGGAUGAUAAGUCACCCUAGAAGUGAAACAAGGUCCAGACUCCUACGAGAGGCAGCAGUGGGGAAUAUUAGACAACGGGCGAAAGCCUGAUCCAACCAGGCCGCGUGUGUGAAGAAGGUAUUCGGAUUGCAAAGCCCGCUUUGGUGGGAGAAAGGGCAGUAAGUUAAUACGUUGCUGUUUUGACGUUACUAACAGAAUAAGCACCGGCUAACUUCGUG
rnacentral:rRNA from 1 species